UGCAAGUCGAGCGGGACCGACGGGAGCUUGCUCCCUUAGGUCAGCGGCGGACGGGUGAGUAACACGUGGGUAACCUGCCUGUAAGACUGGGAUAACUCCGGGAAACCGGGGCUAAUACCGGAUGCUUGAUUGAACCGCAUGGUUCAAUCAUAAAAGGUGGCUUUUAGCUACCACUUGCAGAUGGACCCGCGGCGCAUUAGCUAGUUGGUGAGGUAACGGCUCACCAAGGCGACGAUGCGUAGCCGACCUGAGAGGGUGAUCGGCCACACUGGGACUGAGACACGGCCCAGACUCCUACGGGAGGCAGCAGUAGGGAAUCUUCCGCAAUGGACGAAAGUCUGACGGAGCAACGCCGCGUGAGUGAUGAAGGUUUUCGGAUCGUAAAACUCUGUUGUUAGGGAAGAACAAGUACCGUUCGAAUAGGGCGGCACCUUGACGGUACCUAACCAGAAAGCCACGGCUAACUACGUGCCAGCAGCG
rnacentral:rRNA from 1 species